rnacentral:rRNA from 1 species
GGGGCCUACACAUGCAGUCGAGCGGCAGCGGAAGUAGCUUGCUACUUUGCCGGCGAGCGGCGGACGGGUGAGUAAUGUCUGGGAAACUGCCUGAUGGAGGGGGAUAACUACUGGAAACGGUAGCUAAUACCGCAUAACGUCGCAAGACCAAAGAGGGGGACCUUCGGGCCUCUUGCCAUCAGAUGUGCCCAGAUGGGAUUAGCUAGUAGGUGGGGUAACGGCUCACCUAGGCGACGAUCCCUAGCUGGUCUGAGAGGAUGACCAGCCACACUGGAACUGAGACACGGUCCAGACUCCUACGGGAGGCAGCAGUGGGGAAUAUUGCACAAUGGGCGCAAGCCUGAUGCAGCCAUGCCGCGUGUAUGAAGAAGGCCUUCGGGUUGUAAAGUACUUUCAGCGGGGAGGAAGGUGUUGAGGUUAAUAACCUCAGCAAUUGACGUUACCCGCAGAAGAAGCACCGGCUAACUCCGUGCCAGCAGCCGCGGUAAUACGGAGGGUGCAAGCGUUAAUCGGAAUUACUGGGCGUAAAGCGCACGCAGGCGGUCUGUCAAGUCAGAUGUGAAAUCCCCGGGCUCAACCUGGGAACUGCAUUCGAAACUGGCAGGCUAGAGUCUUGUAGAGGGGGGUAGAAUUCCAGGUGUAGCGGUGAAAUGCGUAGAGAUCUGGAGGAAUACCGGUGGCGAAGGCGGCCCCCUGGACAAAGACUGACGCUCAGGUGCGAAAGCGUGGGGAGCACACAGGAUUAGA